rnacentral:rRNA from 1 species
CUUAAAGGAAUUGACGGAAGGGCACCACCAGGAGUGGAAUCUGCGGCUUAAUUUGACAACGCGGGAAAACUCACCAGGUCAGGACACGGUAAGGAUUGACGGACUGAAGGUUCUUUCUCGAUUCCGUGGAAAGUGGUGCAUGGCCGUUUUGGUUGGUGGAUCGAUCCGUCUGGUUAAUUCCGUUAACGAACGAGACCUCGGCACUCCGAAUAGCGCGGCGGACGUCGCGGCCUCCGGGCCGUCUUCCGCACGAGCUUCUUAGAGGGACCGUCCCCCGCCGGGGAAGGAGGUGCGAGGCAACGACAGGUCUGUGAUGCCCUUAGAUGUUCUGGGCCGCACGCGCAUUACACUGACGCGUCCAACGGGUGACUCCCGACCCGAAGGGGCCGGGGAAUCCGCAAGGCGCGUCGUGAUGGGGAUUGAACGUUGCAAUUGUUGUUCACGAACGAG